rnacentral:rRNA from 1 species
UAGUCCACGCCCUAAACGAUGGAUACUAGACGUCGGGAUUCCUAAUAGUCUCGGUGUCGCAGCUAACGCAUUAAGUAUCCCGCCUGGGGACUACGGUCGCAAGAUUAAAACUCAAAGGAAUUGACGGGGGCCCGCACAAGCGGUGGAGCAUGUGGUUUAAUUCGAUGCUACGCGAAGAACCUUACCUGGGCUUGACAUCCCGCGCUACCCUGUGAAAGCAGGGGUUCCCCUAGGGGACGCGGUGACAGGUGCUGCAUGGCUGUCGUCAGCUCGUGUUGUGAGAUGUUGGGUUAAGUCCCGCAACGAGCGCAACCCUCGUCGUUAGUUGCCAGCAUUAAGUUAGGCACUCUAGCGAGACCGCUUGGCUAUAAGCCAGAGGAAGGUGGGGAUGACGUCAAGUCCUCAUGGCCUUUAUGUCCAGGGCUACACACGUGCUACAAUGGGAGGUACAGAGCGCUGCAAGCUCGCGAGAGCAAGCUAAUCGCAAAAAACCUCUCUC